rnacentral:misc_RNA from 1 species
UGGAAGUAAAAGUUGUAACAAGGUUUCCGUAGGUGAACCUGCGGAAGGAUCAUUAAAAAAUAAUCACGUUUUGUCGUGGUUUUAAUAAUCAUCCUACCCUUUGUGAAUUUGUGUUUUGUUUUGAAACUUAUGUUGUGUCUAUCCCUGGAUUUGGAAGAGUUUUUUUUCGUAAAAAACUUUUUCAUUUCAGGGAAUAGGCUUUCAUAGACCUUUUUUUAAAUUAAACAUUUGUAUUCAUUCGUCUAAAUUUAUUUUUAAUAAUUUAAAAACAACUUUUGACAAUGGAUCUCUUGGUUCUCGCAACGAUGAAGAACGCAGCAAAAUGCGAUAAGUAAUGUGAAUUGCAGAAUACGUGAAUCAUCAAAUCUUCGAACACAUAUUGCACUUUUUUAGUUUACUAAAAAAGUAUGUCUGUUUGAGUAUCAGUAAAAUAUUCUCAUAAAAACAUUUUUUUUUGUUUUUAUGGUUAUGAGUGUUUUACAACGAUAAACAAGUUGUUUCACUUUAAAUUGAUUUUUUUUAAAGCCAAUUUUUUUUUGGUUUUAUUAUAAAAUUGGAUAAAAUUUUCCCGUAAAAAGGAAUAAACUUUUCAGUUUUAGAAUAAACCCAAAUAUUGGUUAUCAAAAAAAAAGGAAAUUUAAAUAAUUAUAAACUAACUUGAUCUCAAAUCAGAUAAGAGUACCCGCUGAACUUAAGCAUAUCAAUAAGCGGAGGAAAAGAAACUAACAAGGAUUCCCUUAGUAACGGCGAGUGAAGCGGGAAGAGCUCAAAUUUGAAAUCUUCAAGGUUCUACCUUGACGAAUUGUAGUUUAAAGAAGUGUUUUCUGCUAGUGGAGUGGCAAAAGUUCUUUGGAAUAGGACAUCAUAGAGGGUGAGAAUCCCGUAUUUGGUCAUUCUUUCUAGCUUUGUGAUACACUUUCAAAGAGUCGGAUUGUUUGGGAAUGCAGUCCAAAAUGGGUGGUAAAUUUCAUCUAAAGCUAAAUAUUGGCGAGAGACCGAUAGCGAACAAGUACCGUGAGGGAAAGAUGAAAAGAACUUUGAAAAGAGAGUUAAACAGUACGUGAAAUUGUCAAAAAGGGAAGCGUUUGACACCAGUGUUGUUUUCCCGAAAAUCAAUUAUGAAUGUUUUGUUUUUGAGGAGUUAUGACUUCAUCGGCUUGCUCCUUUCUUUACGGAACUUUCGUAAUGCACUUUUCGGUUAACAAGUCAACAUCAAUUUCUUUUGUUGUAAAAGGGUACGAGGAAGGUGGCUUUCUUUUCGGAGAAAGUGUUUAUAGCCUUGUGCCUCUGCAAUCGGAGAGAUUGAGGUCUGCAGCGUAGAUCCUUCGGGGCUAGAUACACUUGUGCUAAGUUAUAGCUUUUCAUAGACAACUUGUUGACUAUGUUUAGUCUUGUAGCUUACCCGCUCGUGCUAUUUUACCUACGCUUAGGAUGUUGAU